GUUCGAUCCCCAGGCCUUGUCAGGGCGUAUGCUGGUGGUAACCAAUCGAUGUGUCUCUCUCACAUUGAUGUCUCUCUCUCUCCUCCUCCUCUACU